rnacentral:lncRNA from 1 species
GCUACCGAUUGAGUAUUGGGCACAAUUGUGGUGGGCUAGAUCAAAGUGCUAACUGGAUAGUGGUCUUGGACACUGAAAAGUUAAAUGGAGCAUUGGAAAGGUGUUUGUCACCUCUGAUCAUCAAAGAAGUCUGUUGACAUGCAAGGACCACGACAGGAUUGGAAACUACCCAUGAGGUAAGGGGACUGAAAUACUUCUAAUCCAGGUCCAGCUGGGGUGGAGGUUCUAGAACCACAGUUGUUUGUUACUGCUAGGACUUAAGUAACUGACUAGCCACCGCAGAUUUGGUGAACUUCUCUGUAAAACAUCCUCAGGGCUACAAUUCCUAUUGUUAUUAAAUGUGCUAUAUAAAUACAUUUUGCAGGUAUAAGAUACUCUCUGUAUAUGAUUUGGACAUGAAGGACCCUUGUCUCAGAGUGGCAUACAGCAUGUAACUGAGUUCUAGUUUGAUGCACAGCCUUUAGUUUGAAUCAUAUUUUAUAGAUGCAUGAAAAAUAUCAGAACAAUCAAAGACAAGACCAAACCAGAAGGACACUAAAUGGAUGAAAAUGAUUGGUACUAUUUCUGUGUUAUCUGGCAAGUGAUAAUUUAUUGUACAUGCUGAUUUGGCACAUACUGAUUUGGCACCUUGUUUUCCAUGGUUACUGUUGCUAAGGCAGGGAAGCUUAAUUCACCAGGCUGUCGGGGCUGUCUCCUGUUUCCUCUUAACCUUCCCCAAACGAAUAUUGGUGAAUUUGUUCCAACAAAGACAUUCCUCAGGAAAAACACAAUUUCUCCAAACCGCUACAGUAGAGGCCAAACCAUGAAAGAAGAUAGCCUCUCCACAAACAUGCAAUCUUCAGACUGAAGAGACUGUCUCAUGCCUGUCAUGGCAGGAGGAAAGAAACAGAAAACAGAUGAAGUGAUGAAAUGUCCAAGGUUGGGAUCAACACAGAGCCGCAAUGGGCAUAAACAACAGUUGCAAUAUAUCGAUUUUGUUGUUUUAUUGUCCGAUACUUUCUCUGGAUCAGAGCCACUGUAGGAAUAAAGACAGAAAGACAGGAGAGGAAGGAAAAGAC